rnacentral:sRNA from 1 species
ACUGGGUGUGGUGGCGCACGCCUGUAAUCCCAGCUGCUUGGGAGGCUGAGGAUGGAGGAUAGCGAGUUCAAAGCCAGCCUCAAUAACUUAAUGAGGCCCUAAGCAACUCAGCAAGACCCUGUCUCUA